rnacentral:lncRNA from 1 species
AUUUACUUACCCAGGUGGCAUGAGAAUCUUCUUUCUGAUAGUCUAGAUUCCUGACAGGUCUGUGUAUUCCAAAGCUUAAAUCUUACAAUCUAGAGUUGAUUUGUCUUAGCCCCAUGCCCACGACUUCCUCAUAAAAGCUUUACGCAGUAGUCUUGUGUGUCUUCAAUCCUCCAUCUGCUUAAAGAGACAUAAAUCACCCAAUGGAGCCAGUGGAAAGUCCUGGAGCAAACAGACAGGGUCGUGCCACCUCAGGAACAAAGCAUGAAUGUGGAAUAGUCAUCUCUCACGGUCUCUCUAACCUUGCAUUGCGGCCCUGCCUGGUUUCUGCAGGACCUCUCGAUUGCCCGUGGUCAUCGACCUGUUGACAGGAGAAAGGAAGAGCCUCCUAGCCUAAGACCUGCCCCUCCUCCUAUCAG